CAGUUAUCCUGAUCGAAGACAGUGUCUGGCAGGCAGUUUGACUGGGGCGGUCGCCUCCUAAAAGAUAACGGAGGCGCUCAAAGGUUUGCUCAGAAUGGUUGGAAAUCAUUCGUAGCGUGUAAAGGCAUAAGCAAGCUUGACUGUGAGACUGACAAGUCGAGCAGGUACGAAAGUAGGACUUAGUGAUCCGGUGGUUCCGUAUGGAAGGGCCAUCGCUCAACGGACAAAAGCUACCCCGGGGAUAACAGGCUCAUCUCCCCCAAGAGUCCACAUCGACGGGGAGGUUUGGCACCUCGAUGUCGGCUCAUCGCAUCCUGGGGCUGUAGUCGGUCCCAAGGGUUGGGCUGUUCGCCCAUUAAAGCGGUACGCGAGCUGGGUUCAGAACGUCGUGAGACAGUUCGGUCCCUAUCCGUCGUGGGCGCAGGAAAUUUGAGAGGAUCUGUCCUUAGUACGAGAGGACCGGGAUGGACAUACCUCUGGUGUACCAGUUGUUCUGCCAAGAGCACCGCUGGGUAGCUACGUAUGGAUUAGAUAAUCGCUGAAAGCAUCUAAGUGAGAAACUAACCUCGAGAUGAGAUUUCCCAUUCGUCAGAAGUAAGACCCCUGAGAGACGAUCAGGUAGAUAGGCUAGAAGUGGAAGUGUAGUGAUGCAUGGAGCGGACUAGUACUAAUAGGUCGAGGACUUAACCAAG
rnacentral:rRNA from 1 species